AUUGAACGCUGGCGGCAGGCUUAACACAUGCAAGUCGAGCGGAGAUGAGGUGCUUGCACCUUAUCUUAGCGGCGGACGGGUGAGUAAUGCUUAGGAAUCUGCCUAUUAGUGGGGGACAACAUUCCGAAAGGAAUGCUAAUACCGCAUACGUCCUACGGGAGAAAGCAGGGGAUCUUCGGACCUUGCGCUAAUAGAUGAGCCUAAGUCGGAUUAGCUAGUUGGUGGGGUAAAGGCCUACCAAGGCGACGAUCUGUAGCGGGUCUGAGAGGAUGAGCCGCCAACCUGGGACUGAGGCACGGCCCAGACUCCUACGGGAGGCAGCAGUGGGGAAUAUUGGACAAUGGGGGGAACCCUGAUCCAGCCAUGCCGCGUGUGUGAAGAAGGCCUUAUGGUUGUAAAGCACUUUAAGCGAGGAGGAGGCUACUGAGACUAAUACUCUUGGAUAGUGGACGUUACUCGCAGAAUAAGCACCGGCUAACUCUGUGCCAGCCGCCGCGGUAAAAC
rnacentral:rRNA from 1 species